rnacentral:rRNA from 1 species
UACGGAGGGUGCAAGCGUUAUCCGGAUUCACUGGGUUUAAAGGGAGCGUAGGUGGGCUGGUAAGUCAGUGGUGAAAUCUCCGGGCUUAACCCGGAACUGCCGUUGAUACUAUUUGUCUUGAAUAUUGUGGAGGUAAGCGGAAUAUGUCAUGUAGCGGUGAAAUGCUUAGAUAUGACAUAGAACACCAAUUGCGAAGGCAGCUUACUACACAAUGAUUGACGCUGAGGCACGAAAGCGUGGGGAUCAAACAGG